rnacentral:lncRNA from 1 species
CUUUCCGUGGAAAGACCUAUUGAUUUUGUUCUGAUUAUUAUUUUUUUUUUUUCUUCCGCCUAAUUUUUUUUCUUGCGUAAUUUUGUUGUUUCAAAAGAUGUCGCUUAGAUAUUUGGAAUAUGAUAUCGUAUAGUUUAUACGCUUUAAAACUGACAACCGCGCAACUAGAUACUUUGCGUUGUAAGAGUUAUCUCCCCAAACACUGUUUUUCUUGUGGCCACUACUCCUUCGCAACCGUAAAAG